AGCGAACGCUGGCGGCAGGCCUAACACAUGCAAGUCGAACGAACCUUUCGGGGUUAGCGGCGGACGGGUGAGUAACGCGUGGGAAUGUGCCCUUCUCUACGGAAUAGCCCUGGGAAACUGGGAGUAAUACCGUAUACGCCCUAUUGGGGAAAGAUUUAUCGGAGAAGGAUCAGCCCGCGUUGGAUUAGGUAGUUGGUGGGGUAAUGGCCUACCAAGCCGACGAUCCAUAGCUGGUUUGAGAGGAUGAUCAGCCACACUGGGACUGAGACACGGCCCAGACUCCUACGGGAGGCAGCAGUGGGGAAUCUUAGACAAUGGGGGCAACCCUGAUCUAGCCAUGCCGCGUGAGUGAUGAAGGCCUUAGGGUUGUAAAGCUCUUUCAGCUGGGAAGAUAAUGACGGUACCAGCAGAAGAAGCCCCGGCUAACUCCGUG
rnacentral:rRNA from 1 species